GACGAACGCUGGCGGCGUGCUUAACACAUGCAAGUCGAACGGAAAGGCCCUGCUUUUGUGGGGUGCUCGAGUGGCGAACGGGUGAGUAACACGUGAGUAACCUGCCCUUGACUUUGGGAUAACUUCAGGAAACUGGGGCUAAUACCGGAUAGGAGCUCCUGCUGCAUGGUGGGGGUUGGAAAGUUUCGGCGGUUGGGGAUGGACUCGCGGCUUAUCAGCUUGUUGGUGGGGUAGUGGCUUACCAAGGCUUUGACGGGUAGCCGGCCUGAGAGGGUGACCGGCCACAUUGGUACUGAGAGACGGCCCAGACUCCUACGGGAGGCAGUAGGGGGGAAUAUUGCACAAUGGGCGGAAGCCUGAUGCAGCAACGCCGCGUGCGGGAUGACGGCCUUCGGGUUGUAAACCGCUUUCGCCUGUGACGAAGCGUGAGUGACGGUAAUGGGUAAAGAAGCACCGGCUAACUACGUG
rnacentral:rRNA from 1 species